rnacentral:rRNA from 1 species
GACGAACGCUGGCGGCGUGCUUAACACAUGCAAGUCGAGCGGGAUCCAACCGGUGGCAACACCGGGGAAGAUCUAGCGGCGAACGGGUGAGUAACACGUAGGUAACCUACCCUCGAGUCCACGGAUAACCUACCGAAAGGUGGGCUAAUACCGGAUAUGACCACGGGAGCCUCGGCUCCUGCGGUGAAAGGUGGCCUCUGCUUGCAAGCCACUGCUCGGAGAUGGGCCUGCGCGCCAUUAGCUAGUUGGUGGGUAACGGCCCACCAAGGCGAUGAUGGCUAGCUGGUCUGAGAGGAUGGCCA